rnacentral:rRNA from 1 species
AGAGUGAACGCUGGCGGCAGGCCUAACACAUGCAAGUCGAACGGCAGCGGGUCAGUAGCAAUACUGAUGCCGGCGAGUGGCGGACGGGUGAGGAAUACAUCGGAAUCUACCUUGUCGUGGGGGAUAACGUAGGGAAACUUACGCUAAUACCGCAUACGAACUAUGGUUGAAAGCGGCGGACCGCAAGGCGUCGCGCGAUUGGAUGAGCCGAUGUCCGAUUAGCUAGGUUGGACGGGGUAAAGGCCCACCAAGGCGACGAUCGGUAG